AACAAGGCGUACCUGCGGACCUGCGGAGGGAUCAUUAACGGGUGUAACCUACCCUUUUAAAAAAUGGGUGGUACCUCCCGUCCUUUGCGGGCCCCCUUCUUUUAUUAAGGGGGGGGCUUUUAAGACUUUCUGCUUCGGCGGGGUUAUUCCCGCCGGAACACCUUCAAAAAACUCUUGAUCAAAAAACUGUUCAGUCCGAGAAUUUUUGAAAAUUAAAACAAAACUUUUAACAACGGAUCU
rnacentral:misc_RNA from 1 species